UACAGAGGUCUCAAGCGUUGUUCGGAUUCAUUGGGCGUAAAGGGCGCGUAGGCGGCGGGGUAAGUCGGGUGUGAAAUCUCAGAGCUCAACUCUGAAACUGCACUCGAUACUGCUCUGCUUGAGGACUGGAGAGGAGACUGGAAUUCACGGUGUAGCAGUGAAAUGCGUAGAUAUCGUGAGGAAGACCAGUGGCGAAGGCGGGUCUCUGGACAGUUCCUGACGCUGAGGCGCGAAAGGCCAGGGGGAGCCAAACGGGGAUUAAGAAACCCC
rnacentral:rRNA from 1 species